rnacentral:snRNA from 1 species
UAAUGUGAGGGUGAUCUGGCUGUGACAUCUUGUUACCCCAUUCAUCACCAGGAUGGAUUUGGCUGAUCUAGCUGGCUAGGUGGGUGUCCCCUUCCUUCCUCACUGCUCCAUGUUCCUCUGUCAUGAAGCUGCACUUGGUCAAGAGGACAACCUUCCCUGAAGAGAGGAGCACCAGUCAUCACUCAAGGGCAUGAGGGUAGCUGCGCUCCCCUGCUAAAAUCUCCAAACAAGCUCUCAAACUGAUCAGGGAUUGUGUAAAUAAAACUAAAAGUAAUUGAGGAAUAAAUAAAUAUAACAUGAGUAUAUGCUAU